GGCGGGAGCCUGAACCAGCCAAGCCGCGUGAAGGAAGAAGGCGCCUGGUGUAGUUAACUUCUUUUGUCGGGGAACAAAGGGCGCCACGCGUGGCGUUGUGAGUGUACCCGAAGAAAAAGCAUCGGCUUACUCCGUGCCAGCAGCCGCGGUAAUACGGAGGAUGCGAGCGUUAUCCGGAUUUAUUGGGUUUAAAGGGUGAGUAGGCGGUCCGGAAAGUCAGCGGUAAAAGCCCGGGGCUCAACCCCGGCGAGCCGUUGAAACUGUCGGACUAGAGACGGCGAGAAGUACGCGGAAUGCGCGGUGUAGCGGUGAAAUGCAUAGAUAUCGCGCAGAACUCCGAUUGCGAAGGCAGCGUACCGGCGCCGGACUGACGCUGAGGCACGAAAGCGUGGGUAUCGAACAGGAUUAGAUACCCCGGUAGUCCACGCAGUAAACGAUGAAUGCCGGUUGUCCGGUCCGAGUGAGGGCUGGGUGGCGAAGCGAAAGCAAUAAGCAUUCCACCUGGGGAGUACGCCGGCAGCGGUGAAACUCAAAGGAAUUGACGGGGGCCCCGCACAAGCGGAGGAACAUGUGGUUUAAUUCGAUGAUACGGGAGGAACCUUACCCGGGCUCAAACGGGAGACGACAGGGGCAGAGAUGCCCUCUUCCACGGACGUCUUCCGAGGUGCUGCAUGGUUGUCGUCAGCUCGUGCCGUGAGGUGUCGGCUUAAGUGCCAUAACGAGCGCAACCCCUGCCGACAGUUGCUAACGGUUAAAGCCGAGGACUCUGUCGGGACUGCCGGCGCAAGCCGCGAGGAAGGCGGGGAUGACGUCAAAUCAGCACGGCCCUUACGUCCGGGGCGACACACGUGUUACAAUGGCCGGUACAGCGGGAAGCCAGGCGGCGACGCCGAGCGGAACCCGAAAACCGGUCUCAGUUCGGAUCGGAGUCUGCAACCCGACUCCGUGAAGCUGGAUUCGCUAGUAAUCGCGCAUCAGCCAUGGCGCGGUGAAUACGUUCCCGGGCCUUGCACACACCGCCCGUCAAG
rnacentral:rRNA from 1 species